GAUGGGGUGGCUGAAAUAUUAGGCAGUAAAUUGUAAAUUUACUUAUGGUUAGAUAACCCUCCAUCA
rnacentral:tRNA from 1 species